rnacentral:sRNA from 15 species
CUUCGCUGACCACCUCGGCGAAGAAAGUGUUCGGGAAACAACGACUUACGCGCCUAGUAAAUGUCUCGUUUCCCGCUCCAAU